UGCUAUUCCUGCCGCAUAACUCUCUCUUCCCCAGGCUUUUCCCAUCUCCAUCCUAUUCUCUCGCAGGUGCUGGGGGAAAAGAUUACUUCCCAGAUGCAGUAUUUACAUCUCCUCCGCCCUACUCUUCCAACCCUGCCUGAAAUAAGUGUGGUUCUCCUGUCUGUCAGACUAUGAAGAGUUCUCAAAUAUGUCUUUCCCAGCGAGGGAGAGGAGAAAACUUCAGCCUCCACGAUCGAUGUUUCUCAAGUGUCAAGGAAAAUGGAGCCUAGGAGGGCAGCCCCACAAGCAGCGUGAUGGGCAUUUAAGCCGACGCAUGUGCCAGGUCCUAGAACAGAGUAACUUCCCCAUCUCAACACAAUAAAAUGGUGAUAUGAGAA
rnacentral:lncRNA from 1 species